rnacentral:rRNA from 1 species
GAUGAACGCUAGCGGCAGGCUUAACACAUGCAAGUCGAGGGGUACUGGUUUCGGACCAAGAGACCGGCGCACGGGUGCGUAACGCGUAUGCAAUCUACCUUUUGCAGAGGGAUAGCCCAGAGAAAUUUGGAUUAAUACCUCAUAGUAUAGUACUUUGGCAUCAAGGAACUAUUAAAGUCACAACGGCAAAAGAUGAGCAUGCGUCCAUUAGCUAGUUGGUAAGGUAACGGCUUACCAAGGCUACGAUGGGUAGGGGUCCUGAGAGGGAGAUCCCCCACACUGGUACUGAGACACGGACCAGACUCCUACGGGAGGCAGCAGUGAGGAAUAUUGGACAAUGGGCGCAAGCCUGGUCAGCCAUGCCGCGUGCAGGAUGACGGUCCUAUGGAUUGUAAACUGCUUUAUACAGGAAGAAACACUCCGACGUGUCGGAGCUUGACGGUACUGUAAGAAUAAGGAAUCGGCUAACUCCGUGCCAGCAGACCGCGGUAAAAGUCG